UUCCUGCCAUGUGGUGACAGAUUAAAAGCUGCUAUACACUUUGGAACUGGAAACUGAGCUCCCAAUAUAAAGGAGAUAAGCCAUCAUGCUUACAAUAUGUUGUGCAGAGCUCACUGGUGGGCAGUUUUUCUUAACAAUGCAUCAGGACUUUUGCUAUUUGUAAAGGAAGCUUAAAGGAAGCUGAGAGUGCUGAGGGCACAUCUGAAACCACUGGAGGUUGGCGACGUGGAGGUCAGGUAGUAGUGCUCUCCCACCAGGAGUCCCUCUGCACCCCUGGAGAGAGCAGUCAUUAUGCAGGACAACCCAUCUGCUCAGAACUUUCAGUGGCGACUUGUGGUGUGACUCUGUUCCCAUUCAUCUAUGUGCUGCUGUAGGCUUAGCUUCCCACAGCCUCCCCAGCUUUGCCAUUUGUCAUUAUCAUUUACUCUUAAUAUUUAUUCUAUCUAUGACCCUGAUGCACAGAGUGAUAGCUGAUAGUCUCUUAAAACAACGUUUACAAUUAUUUUGACAGUUUACCGUGUUUUGUUCUCUCAACAAUACUUAGAAUUUGUCUGAGUUAUAGUUGCAUAGACGGCAAUUUUCCUGACCUAGUUUUCUGACUAUGAUUUAUGGGUCAGUAAACUCCUUAAAUGAUGGAAUAUAACAUCUCAGGCCACAGGGAACACUUACUAUCACAUGCUCACUGUUGCAGGACGGAUGCGUGGCCAGCCUCAGGUUGCUAAAUGUUAGGGUGAUCUGCCUUCCUUCUGGGGCGGUGAUUCUCCACUUGUAGAUCCGGCCAUGAGGAUUUAGGUUCGGGUAGUUGGGAGAAGUAGAUGUUCCAGCAGAGCCCUGAAGAUCCCCACCACACUCUGAUGUGGGGGAAGAAAGCCAAGAAAACUUCCAAUCAAAUCAAAAUGUCUCCUUCCAUCAGGAAAGCUCUCAAAAUUCAGGUGUCCUGCGUGUACAAAGAAAAUAAUAAAAAACAAGACCUUGCCCAUGAAGAAAUAUUAAUCUCUCUCAAGAAAACAGGAAAACAUGAAUGAAAAUUAACAUAUUCAAAUAUAUGAAGAAGUGAAAAAAAUGCAACCAGUUAGGGGAAGGAUAUCUCAGGAUAAUGAGGAAGGCCAGUUUUUUGGUUGAAAAAGUGGUUUGAGACAACAGAGUGACAAAUAUCUGCCUUAUGCUACUGCCAGGAGACAUGCAUGACCCUCUUUCUGCCUCAAGCUAUAGAACACCCCUCAAAUAACGGCAUCUGGCAAUGGGAUGUCUCAGCAGCAACAGGUUGCCUUCCCACUACCGUUGCUCUCCCCAGGUGGCCUCCAGGGUAGGCUAUAUGACACCUGGGCUCUGGACAUCCAUUGUUAAUGGUAGAAUUGAGGUAGAGAAUCACUGGUACUGCCCAAAGCCCAUUAAUCUGCACUUCUUUGCAGAGUAUAGACAUGCUUUGCCUUUCUUGGAAGUGAAGAAACUUCAGAGGCUGAAUAAGUACAUGCGAAAAUAAACACCCCAAAGAGAGCAGAUAUAUUUCACUAACCAGAAGUAUGAUAGUCCCAGGUCUCCACAAAGUCUUUUUCACAGCCAGAGGAAUUCUGAAGGUUAAAAUCUUCAAAAGAGAUGGUGAGAUAGUGUCUGGAGAGCCCCUGGAGAUGCCAAUCACAGAAUAAGUUGUCUCUAUAUGGAAGCAUUAGAUGGCCAAUGCUUUCAACAACACCACUUUGCCCUGUUACUCUUCCCCCACACUGAGCUGAAAAAAAAAAGAAAGAAAGAAAGAAAAGAAAGAAAGGAUUCUAUUACAAACUGUGUUUUUUUCAUUUCACCAGCACAUGUGAAAACUUUUAGGUGCCAAGUGACUAUGAAUUGAAGUUUUUAAAAUUCUGAAAAUGCUUAGUGCUUUCCUCAUUAUUUGAAUUCUAGGGUUGAUGUAAACAGAAGUGAUACCACAAGUCCAAUCCAAUAAUGGGAAACAAGAUGACGACCAAAUGGCACAUUCUGUAAUGUCACAUUAAUUCUUUUGGGACACUAUGUAAGAGCUAUCAGUUGCAAGCAAGUUUCAUCUCAAGAACAAACUGGUAGACUCAUCUGACCUGCCUAGAACCUUGUGUUGAUUCUAAAGACUGAACCCAAGCUCACCUGGAAGGGGGGACACCUGCUAUAUCUAGUUUUACUAUCAACUAAACUUUCACUACUGUAACUGAUAUCUCAGGGCCUUGAAAAUUACUAUUCAAUUAUGUCUUAUUAGCUGGAUGUGGUAGCUAAUUGAAUUAUAUGCAGCUUGACCCGGGAUAUAAUAUGAUCUAUGGUGUAGUUAAAUACUGUUACAACUAGCCUUUCUGAACUUUUGCUAUAUUAAAUAUUUGUUUGGUUUGUGUCUAGACCUAUCAGAUACUAAAUUGUGUGCUAUUGUGACCAUACUAUAGUGAAUCUUCAACAAGCAAAGUUACUGCUCAAUUUUUAAGUAAGGAAAUCAAAAUCCUGAAGAGACAUAUUUGCUUUUUAUCCAGUGACUGAUUUGGCACUAGAGACUCAGAGAAAAAAAAAAAGCUUAAUCAUUUUAUAUAUGAUGAGGAAUUCAAAGACAUUGUUCUAAAUAUAGUUAUCUGGUUCUUAAAUAGUUGUAUUACUUAAAGUAAUAAACAUACUGUAGUUCUUCCUUUUCCUUGGCGGAUACAUUCCAAGUCCCCCCAGUGAGUGCCUAAAACCUUGGAUAGUACCAAACCCUAUAUAGACAUAUAGACAAUUUUUUUCUACAUAUAUGUACCUAUGAUAAAGCUUGCUUUAUCAAUUAAACGUAGUAAGAGAUUAACUAAUAAUAAAAUAGAACAAUCAUAACAAUAUACUGUAAGAAAAGUUAUGUAAAUGUGGUCUCUCAAAAUAUCUUGGUGUACUGUACUCACCUAUUUUUUGGGCCUCUGUUUACCAAGUGCAUUGAAACCAUGGAACAUGAAACCAUGGAUAAGAGAGAACUACUGAAUUUCAUAGUAAGCAGAAGAAACAGGAGUUUGAUUUAACUACACAUAUUUCUUCACAAAUAAGUUAGAAAAAAUAUAAAAUAUUCAAGUUUACUAAGAUUACAUUUUAAAAUAAAAAUUAAAAGAGAAAUUAAAGUUGAUGACUGUGGUUUUAAACAUUUACACUCCUUACUUAUUUAUAGCAUUAAAAUAUUUUUAAAAUUAUGCAGAUAGAAUGACUUCUUUUUAAAAAGUCAUGGUUUUAAAAAAAGUUUUAACAUAUUCAUCCUGUAAUAACUCUUUUAUUUAAUAUAAAAAUGUUUUCCAGGGUUUUUAUAGUUUUGUGUUUUACAGUUAAGUCUUCAAUCUAUCUUGAAUUGAUUUUUGUAUAUGGUAUAAGGAAGGGGUCCAGUUUCAAUCUUCCGCAUAUUGCUAGCCAGUUCUCCCAGCAUCAUUUAUUGGAUAGGGAGUCUUUUCCCCAUUGCUUGCUUUUGUCAGCUUUGUUGAAGAUCAGAUGCCUGUAAGUGUGAGGCCCUAUUUCUAAGCUCUCUAUUCCAUUUUAUUGGUCUAUGUGUCUAUUUUUGUACCAGUACCAUGCUGUUUUGGUUACUGUACCCCUGUAGUAUAGUUUCAAGUCAGGUAUUGUGAUGCCUCCAGCUUUGUUCUUUUAGUUUAGGAUUGCCUUGGUUAUUUGGGUUCUUUCUGGGGUCCAUAUGAGUUUUAAAAUAGUUUUUUCUAGUACUGUGAAGAAUGUCAUGGUAGUUUGAUAGGAAUAGCAUUGAAUAUGUAAAUUUGGGGAAGCAGUAUGACCACUUUAAUAAUACUGAUUCUUCCUAUCUAUGAGCAUGGAAUUUUUUUUCAUUUGAUAGGGUGGAGGGUGGGAGAAGGGAGAGGGGCAGAAAAAAUAGCUAUUAGAUACUAGGCUUAGUACCUGAGUGAUGAAAUAAUCUUUAUAAUGACCCCCAUGGCACGAGUUUACCUAUAUAACAAACCUGCACAUGUAACCCUGAACCUAAAAUAAAAGUUAAAAAAUAU
rnacentral:lncRNA from 1 species